rnacentral:misc_RNA from 1 species
GUGCAUGGGAAUCAUCAGAAACCAAAUUCUGUCAUUGGUACCAACGUAGACCAUGUGUAAGUUGCACGGACUCUUCACUUUCGAUGCCGUACCCGUAUCGGAUUCUCUAAAAAAGUACACUACAUUUGGAGAACCUGCCACACACCCGUUGACAUUUUUGAAAGUCCGAGCAACAUGUUUAUCAACUCUAGUCUUUUUACAUCUUGUAAACUCAGUAUGCAGAUAAUAACCUUAUUCAUCGUUCAGCUCUUAGACCAAUUCAAAACUUAAUUAACUGCCUCAAUGGUGAUUUCUGUUUUUCUGUUCCCCUCCUAAUGGAGAGUGGUAUUGUUGAAAAUCAGUAUCUGCUACUACCUGUUGG